ensembl:lncRNA
GGGGAGAGAGAGAAAAAGAGUUAACACGGCAUAAGCUAUACGCGGCAGCAGGGUAGAACAGAGCCACACGGUUUUCCUACUGUAGUAGGUUAUUUUGUUGAGGAUAAGUUAAACCUGACCACACCUGUAAGAUGCAAACUGUGGAAUAAAUUUUUUGUUACAUCUUUCCACAUCGGAGUCCCGUGGAGUUCUUUUUCCUCUUCAAACUGACGUACGCGAGUGAAGCACGGGAAAUCUGGUCUCACGGCUUAUACACUACGCACUGUGCCAUUCAUGGCCCGUCAAGCUUCUGCAAUCGAACAGGGAGUGCCAUCACUUCACGCUUCUUCAGGCAAACGCUUCUCGCCUUCUCCACCUGCCACCUUCUCCCGCGGAUCACUGAAAGGAUAAGGUUGGAAACAGUUCUCUUAUUUCUGACUCAGGAGCUCACCUGGCCAUCUACCUCCCCGGAGCAGUCUCACCUCAUCCACCAAAGAUUCCACAUCCCAGCGACCUUCAGGAUUACAGACCCGUGACACUGAUUUCCCACUUCAAGAAAGACUUAUCCGCUUUCCUGUUCACCUCUACACCACAGACUUCAGCCACUGCACAGAGAUCUGCCAUCAAGUUUUCUGAUGACUCUGAGGGAGAGAGGGGUCUUUCAACAUCUGUCAGUCAAUGCUCGGGAUUUUCACAGCAAGAGACUGAGAUUACCCAUAAUGCAUCACUGAACGACACAGGAAAUCAUUCCUGCCUGUGGCCAUCUUCCUGUACAGCUCC